UUAAAGAAACGGACUUAAUUACUGACUGGAAUGGUAAAGAGCAACUGGCGCCGAAUGCUAUCCCCAGUUUGUUUUUGCCGCAGUCAUCAGCAUUGUAUUCGGAUCACGAUUAUUAUUCGAUUGGUCCUAUUCCAAGUACGACGAGAAAGCGUCUAAAUCGGCUAAAAAAUUCAGCACAAGGAGCUAUCGUCUCGGAUGACAACGUUGGGAAUGAGGUUGAAGUUGUUGUGGGUCGAGAAGAAACAAGUAAGGAUUUGGGUCUCUUUGGUAAGACUGGAGCAGAAGAUACAAUUGACUUGGGUCCUUACAUAAAUGCUGACUACAUAUUGUCAUUGGAGGAACAAUUACGUCGUAAAUCUGAGUUUUUGAUGCGAAUAAUCUGAAAUGGAUGGUAUGAUCUGGACGAAAUGAAGUUAUAGAGCUCGAAACGUUGAACGUUCAGCACGAACCGGAAUGCCGAAUAAACGAAGUGUGGCUGCUAACAUUAAUGAUCUAGACGGAAAAUCAUUUAUGCGAUUAAUAAUUGGAUUUAGUAAUAGUACCUUACGCGUCUAUGUGAAAGUUUGGUUAUCUUUGUGGACAAGGUUGUAUAAGCCGAAGACGAUAUGAUCUUCCGAGUCGAUAAACAAAUCAUCCUUAGGAAACGUAAGGUAUUAUCCAACAGAGCAACGAAACAACAUUUAAUUGAACAAAGGAAGGUCUGUGAGAGUAAAAUAAUAAAAUAAAAGUCAAAGUAGUCUUUACACG